GAUCUGUUCUUUAUGCAACUCCUUGACAAAUAAUCAUGAAUGUUCCAAAUUAGUCCCAAGUCAGGUUUUUCAGAAAAUAAUAUGGGUAAGGAUAGAAGUCAAAUAUAUGUCUAUGAAAGCUAUGUGAGACUCAUAAGUUGGUGUGUGGCUAAAAGUGAUGAUUAAUUGAUGACUUGCACAGAGUUGAAUGUGAUGGUUAUGAGCAGAUUGAGGAGUCAACUUACUAUAUGCACUAAGAAGGAACAGUGAAUGGAGGAUAUCACAUCCCAGAAAAUGAAAUAAUACAGUCACCUUCCUUGCUGUCAGAAAUUUAGCAAAUAGGUAGCCCUUUCAUGGAGUGUAGCCAAAAUUUAAACCAGUGAAUACACUUCCUCCUCCACAUCACCCA
rnacentral:lncRNA from 1 species